AUGAAUCAAGAAAUCCUAAUGACCAAGCAAUCAUCACCGACACAGAGUCAGGAAGAACAAGAACAUCCUCAACUGCAUGCCACCGUCGCGCAACAAGGCGGUGGCUCGACACCGUCCGAGUCCAACCACCAGCGCAGGAUCACCAUGAUUCCGCUCGUGUUCCUGUUGGCGCCGCUUCUCCUCACAGCGCCACUUCUUCUACCUCACACAACCAGGGGAACACACACAUGUAUGGACCAAGGAGGAGCCUAGAAAGCUUUGCCCAGAGGCUCUUCCCCUUGGUGAAUACGUUGGCUACAUUAUUUCUGCCUCAGCCCUCACGGCCUCUUUCAUUCUUACUAAAUCAAAGGUAUUUAUACAUGGCCAGGGCCAACGGCCUGGUCCACAAACCAUGCACACACACUCACUACGGUUAGCACACGUCCAUCAUUCCUAGAAUCACUCUAGGUCUAGAUGGUUCGGCCACUAACUUGACCGUCCACUACUAACAAAUUAACUCCAUGCAUUUAGCUAACAACUCUUCGCAUGCAAAGCUACUCCAAUAAACCGAACGACUUGCCAUGCAUCCGACUCAACUUGAACCAAUCCAUCAUGUUCCAGCCUUGUCACGUAUUGCCAACUGUCACUGCAUCGCCGUAUCGCACGACCUUGCCGUCUCGUGCAGCAUUGCAGCUUCACACUGUCAUCGGCAUCUUGUCGUGCUCGCCAUAUCGCACGGCAGCCUGGCAUCUCGCCUUCUCCGCGCGCCUCCAUGAAACCUUGCCACCUAGCUACUUCUAAGAGUACAUGCAAUUAGAAAAACUAAAUAUGCGGAUACAUUGAAUCAAAAUUAAUGCUAAUACGGCCCGUACGGCUCCGAGCAGGCAGUCCGCGCCGCCGGGCCGCUGUUCACUCUACUGGGCUUCCUCGUGUUCCCCUUGGCGUGUGGCGUCCCGGAAUCGCUUGUCACCGCCGAGCUCACCGCCGCGUUCCCGGGGAACGGCGGCUUCGUCCUCUGGGCAGACCACGCCUUUGGCCCGCUGGCAGGCUCGCUCCUCGGCAUGUGGAAGUACCUCAGCAUCGUCAUCAACAUCGCCGCCUACCCGGCUCUCGUGGCUGACUAUCUUGGUGGCGUGGUGCCGGCAGUCGCGAGACCCGGCAGGGCGCACAUGGGCACGGUGGUCGGCAUGACGCUUCUCCUCUCCUUGCUGAACUAUGCCGGCCUGAGCGUCGUCGGGUGGGGCGCGACAGCACUGGGGAUAGCCUCCCUGGCCCCGUUCGUGCUGAUGACGGCCAUGGCUGUGCCCAAAGUACGCCCGCGUCGGUGGGCGAAGCAGGUGAAGGGGAGGAAGAAAGACUGGAGGCUGUUCUUCAACACGCUGUUCUGGAACCUCAACUACUGGGACAGCGCGAGCACCAUGGCCGGCGAGGUGGAGCGGCCGGAGCGGACGUUCCCGCGGGCACUUGCAGCAGCGGUCGUUCUGAUUGCCGCCAGUUACCUGCUGCCGCUCAUGGCCGCAACCGGCGCCACGGACGCGUCGCCGGAUGCAUGGGUGAACGGCUACUUGGCUACCGCCGCAGGCAUCAUCGGGGGACCAUGGCUCAAGUACUGGACCGGUGCAGGCGCAGUAAUCUCCUCCAUUGGCAUGUUUGAGGCCCAAAUGAGCAGUGGCGCGUUCCAGCUCCAUGGUAUGGCGGACCGAGGCCUCCUCCCGUCCGUCUUCGGCAGUCGUGCCGCUCGCACCGGCACCCCAUGGGUUGCAAUCACUGCAUCAACCGCUAUCACCAUCGCCGUCUCCUUCCUCGGUUUCGACAACAUCGUCGCAACAUCAAAUUUCCUAUAUAGCCUGGGAACACUACUCGAGUUCUCCUCCAUCCUCUGGCUCCGAGUCAAGUACCCAACACUGAAGCGCCCAUACCAUGUGCCUCUGCCACUGCCCGCGCUCAUAGCCAUGUGCAUUGUGCCAUCGGUAUUCCUAUCUUACGUGUGUGUGGUUGCUGGGUGGAGGGUAUUCACCAUUGCUGCAGGGCUGACCGCGCUCGGUGUCGGGUGGCACGGCCUCAUGAAGCUGUGCAUAUCCAAGAAGUUGCUCAGUUUUCGCGUGCCUGAAUCAUCAUGUUGA
rnacentral:rRNA from 1 species